rnacentral:rRNA from 1 species
GACGAACGCUGGCGGCGUGCUUAACACAUGCAAGUCGAACGGAAAGGCCCUGCUUUUGUGGGGUGCUCGAGUGGCGAACGGGUGAGUAACACGUGAGUAACCUGCCCUUGACUUUGGGAUAACUUCAGGAAACUGGGGCUAAUACCGGAUAGGAGCUCCUGCUGCAUGGUGGGGGUUGGAAAGUUUCGGCGGUUGGGGAUGGACUCGCGGCUUAUCAGCUUGUUGGUGGGGUAGUGGCUUACCCAGGCUUUGGCGGGUAGCCGGCCUGGGAGGGUGACCGGCCACAUUGGGACUGAGAUACGGCCCAGACUCCUACGGUAGGCAGCAGUGGGGAAUAUUGCACAAUGGGCGGAAGCCUGAUGCAGCAACGCCGCGUGCGGGAUGACGGCCUUCGGGUUGUAAACCGCUUUCGCCUGUGACGAAGCGUGAGUGACGGUAAUGGGUAAAGAAGCACCGGCUAACUACGUG